AGUAUGGCUGUGGUUAUGGGUGGGCCCAGAUGAAAGCCCCUUGGUAAUAACCAGGUCCAGAGUAUGGCUGUGGUUAUGGGUGGGCCCAGUAGAAAGCCCCUUGGUAAUAACCAGGUCCAGAGUAUGGCUGUGGUUAUGGGUGGGCCCAGGAGAAAGACCCUUGGUAAUAACCAGGUCCAGAGUAUGGCUGUGGUUAUGGGUGGACCCAGAUGAAAGCCCCUUGGUAAUAACCAGGUCCAGAGUAUGGCUGUGGUUAUGGGUGGGCCCAGUAGAAAGCCCCUUGGUAAUAACCAGGUCCAGAGUAUGGCUGUGGUUAUGGUUGGGCCCAGUAGAAUGCCCCUUGGUAAUAACCAUGUCCAGAGUAUGGCUGUGGUUAUUGGUGGGCCCAGUAGAACGCCCCUUGGUAAUAACCAGGUCCAGAGUAUGGCUGUGGCUAUGGGUGGGCCCAGUAUAAAGCCGCUUGGUAAUAACCAGGUCCAGAGUAUGGCUGUGGUUAUGGGUGGGCCCAGUAGAAAGCCCCUUGGUAAUAACCAGGUCCAGAGUAUGGCUGUGGUUAUGGGUGGACCCAGUAGAAAGCCCC
ensembl:lncRNA